ACUUUCUUCGAGCUAUGGUUCUUAUAUUGUUUGUAAUCUGUUUUUGUUUUUUUGUUUAUUACAAUAGAAAUCGAGACAUUCAUGCUAUUAGUUUGCAGGUUGGAUCUUGUUGCUAUUAGUUUGUUGGAUCUCGUUUCUUUUUGGGGUGAAGACAACUUUAAUUCACAAAGCCAAUCUUCACAAGCUUAUGGCGGUUAGUCGACCUCCAAAUAUGAGUUUUUAAUUGGUUUAUUAUGUGUCUUAUUUGUGGGUUUCAUUGUUUCUGACUUUAAGUUCUUGAUUGGUUUAUUACAUGACUAUUUAAUCUUGUUAAUGUGAAUGUCAAUGUGUUUUUUUGGUGUUUGAGUUAUUCUUAUGGGUUUGUUAUGUUUUGCUCAUGGGUAAGAUACUAUAAUGGUCGAAAAGUCAUGAGUUCAUCUUAACAGGUAUGUGAAAACAAUAUAUAGUUGAGGGUUUAAUGAGGGAUUAAGAGAGUUUAACAUUUCUCAUUAAGAGAAUUUGGUUUCUCUAUGAGAUCCAUUUUUUGUUUGUUUUGUGUAAUGAAAGGGACAGAGACACCAAUUGUGUUCUUCUGUUUAGAGAUUUAUGUUUUCAGACAAAAUUUUUGGUUUGGCCCAUUGAAGAACUAGCUUUAAAUCACGAGCCAACUUUUUUAUUCAUCAAUAUGUCAAAUCAAUCCUUUAAUCCAAUUUUUUUUUCGAGUCAUCUGCAAUUUUGCAUUAUCAUCUUUUGAUAUUGACUGAUGAAUAAAGAAGUUUAUAUAAUUUGAUCAUUAUAGUAACAUUCACUACAUCAAAUCUUUUACAAACCUUUUAAACAUGAACAUUCAGUAUAGAAUUGUCAUUUCUGUUCAUGAACAAGAGUUUUCCAAAUAUGAGUUUUUUAUCGGUUUACUAUGCGUCUUAACAGGUAUGUGAAAACAAUAUAUAGUUAAAAGUUUAAUGAGGGAUUAAGAGAGUUUAACGUUUCUCAUUAUUUUUUUGCUUUCAUCUCACUUUACUAAAGAGCUGAUCUUGGUUAUGAGAGAGGUACUUGGAAUUUUGUGCGGUAUGUGGCUGCAGCUUAAGGAGAAAUAAAGAUGAUUAUUUGCCCUUGCAUUGACUGUUGCAACGUGGUACCGGUAAUGGAGUGAAGUCAAUUGCUUAUUCUGAAUUGAUGGAUGAAGUAUGUUUAUUGCUUUUAAGUUUAGCCGGCUAUGUUUGAGAACUUGAUCUGUUUAAGACAUGACUUUGUGUUUUGUUUAUGACUUGGUUUGAUGGUUACAUGUUCUCUUUUAGAGUUCAUGAUUUUAAUCAGUUCACUUUGUAUGCUUUGGAUUUUUAAUGGAAAAGCAUUGAUAUUUUAUGAAUUUUUGUUUCUUGUCAAAGUAUCACAA